rnacentral:rRNA from 1 species
UACGUAGGGUGCGAGCGUUAAUCGGAAUUACUGGGCGUAAAGCGUGCGCAGGCGGUUUUGUAAGCCAGAUGUGAAAUCCCCGGGCUUAACCUGGGAAUGGCAUUUGGGACUGCAAGGCUGGAGUGCGGCAGAGGAGACUGGAAUUCCUGGUGUAGCGGUGAAAUGCGCAGAUAUCAGGAGGAACACCAAUGGCGAAGGCAGCACUCUGGGACGGUACUGACGCUGAGACGCGAAAGCGUGGGGAGCAAACAGG